rnacentral:rRNA from 1 species
GUGGGGAAUAUUGGACAAUGGGCGCAAGCCUGAUCCAGCCAUGCCGCGUGAGUGAUGAAGGCCUUAGGGUUGUAAAGCUCUUUCAGUGGGGACGAUAAUGACGGUACCCACAGAAGAAGCCCCGGCUAACUUCGUGCCAGCAGCCGCGGUAAUACGAAGGGGGCUAGCGUUGUUCGGAUUUACUGGGCGUAAAGCGCACGUAGGCGGAUCGUUAAGUCGGGGGUGAAAUCCUGGAGCUCAACUCCAGAACUGCCUUCGAUACUGGCGAUCUUGAGUCCGGAAGAGGUGAGUGGAACUCCUAGUGUAGAGGUGGAAUUCGUAGAUAUUAGGAAGAACACCAGUGGCGAAGGCGGCUCACUGGUCCGGUACUGACGCUGAGGUGCGAAAGCGUGGGAGCAAACAGGAUUAGAUACCCCUGUAGUCC